rnacentral:rRNA from 1 species
GAUGAACGCUGGCGGCGUGCCUAAUACAUGCAAGUCGAGCGAACGGACGAGAAGCUUGCUUCUCUGAUGUUAGCGGCGGACGGGUGAGUAACACGUGGAUAACCUACCUAUAAGACUGGGAUAACUUCGGGAAACCGGAGCUAAUACCGGAUAAUAUUUUGAACCGCAUGGUUCAAAAGUGAAAGACGGUCUUGCUGUCACUUAUAGAUGGAUCCGCGCUGCAUUAGCUAGUUGGUAAGGUAACGGCUUACCAAGGCAACGAUGCAUAGCCGACCUGAGAGGGUGAUCGGCCACACUGGAACUGAGACACGGUCCAGACUCCUACGGGAGGCAGCAGUAGGGAAUCUUCCGCAAUGGGCGAAAGCCAGACGGAGCAACGCCGCGUGAGUGAUGAAGGUCUUCGGAUCGUAAAACUCUGUUAUUAGGGAAGAACAUAUGUGUAAGUAACUCUGCACAUCUUGACGGUACCUAAUCAGAAAGCCACGGCUAACUACGUG